rnacentral:rRNA from 1 species
UGUCAAAUAAGUGCAAUAAGAAUGAGAAUUCCUCUGGAAGUGCUAUUACAAAUGAUACAUAUCACAACGGCUUCAUAAGAAAGGUUUCAGCAUCACUAGAAGCAGGGAAGUCCACGCAAAGAAAAGAAAUGAAAUUGCAUUUGAGAUCAGAUACUUAUAAACAACAAUAAGAGAUUGAAUCAUUAAAAACAGAGGGAACGAAUCAAAUGACAGUAAAAGUCGUCUUCACAGGAGACUUCUCAGAUAAAAGAUGUUUCACCAUAAAAAUCAACUUAUUCAUUUGCAUCAAUCAAUUUGUUUAAGUGAAUGAAUGACAGAAAAAUUUAAAGACAUACCAUAUGUUUAUCCCCACAAACAGAAACACGAAGUGAAAGGACACUGUUUACUGAGAAACAACCUUAGGAGAUUCAUUAUCCAUUAAAUCUUUAUGAUGCAACUUUCUUAUGUUCAAUGAAUAAGUGCCAAAAUUGAACUUAAGGGCUAAUACCAGUACAGAACUAUCCUCGCAAGUUAAAAAGUUUGUUCUGCAGUCUGCAUAGGAGUUAAGCAUGCCGGGAACUACCUUAUGGAGAGUUGUGAAAAUAAUGUCCCUUCAAACUUAAAAAGGAACAGUAAAGAGAAUAAAACAAGAAAAUGGAAGCACAGAUAUAAAAAUAACUCUCCUAGAUAAUUCUGCCUCUUUUGGCUGCUCUGUUCCAUGAUUCUAGAUAAUUUUACCUCACAACCAGGUACAAAAACCUCUAACUACCGACGACCACCAGCUUUUCUUGCCAGUGGAGCUAAAUCUUCAUCAUCGGAUUGGACAUCCCCAUACUGCCAUAUCUUCAACCUCUCCCGUUUUGCUUUCUCUUGGAACUCUUCCAGGUUAUCAAGUGCUGCCUUUCUUUCCCUAGUGUCCCACCUCUUCCUUCUUUCUAGCCUAGCAAGUCCUUCCUGCAGUACAAAAAGACCACUCUCAGCACACAAAAGAUCAUCAAAAGCAACUAAGAGUUCAAUCCAGAAUGCUCGUUGCUUAUGCUAUUUCGCAAAGACUCAAUGAUACCAUUUUAUAGAGCUUUAAGUAGUAAUUCUGAACACUCAUGCUCAUAAUACAUUCAGGAAAAACCCAGUGAAUAUGUGGCAGCCAUAUUUCACUGCAAUACAAAGGAUCUAAUAAUAUCACAUCCGAUGAUAACAACAGCAUGCACUUCAAAAUAAUUUAGUAGCACAAGGAAGGUUGAUUUCAAUGGCUGUCUGAAAACAAAGCCACUUUUAUGCCUCAAUACGAUUUAGAAAAUGAGCUGAAAAUAAAGAAACAACUUCUGACAUAAUCUACACACCAACAAAUGAUCUGAUUUAAUAAAUCGACUGAUCAAUGUCAGAGAAAGUAUAGAGGUCUGCUAUAUUGCACGAACAUUAGAAAUACUAGGUCUGCUAUAUUGCACGAACAUUAUACAUGUUUGUAUGCUAUCAGUUUCUUUCAGUCUCUCUAUUACUCUGGAUUGAGCAUAGAAAUUCCAUAUACAUGCACCAUAACAAUGUGGUGUCAUGCCUGCUGGGCAUGGCACUUCCAACUCCAAUAUAUGUGCCUUCAUUUAAAAAGAUAGAAGUAUUAACUCCAAGACUCACUCAAGCAUUAAUGUCAUUAUAUGUUUGGGAACAUCUUGAAACUUCAACCUUGCUAAUGCAGUUCUAAUCUGGAACUGCCCCUGAAUUAAAUCAUUAUGGCAGCUUGAACAUAGCUUGUCUUGACUGGCAUAUCUUUUAAUCUUUCUAUUACUCUAAAUUGACCGAGCAUAGAAAUUCCAUAUAAAAGGGGGCUGACGCCUGCUCAGUGCCGGAAGAUCAAAGAAGUUGGUGACCUGAUGACAGAAAACCGGCGACCGAAGUCCCGAUGAACUGCGGCCGUAACUAUAACGGUCCUAAGGUAGUGAAAUUCCUUGUCGAGUAAGUCCGACCCGCACGAAAGGCGUAACGAUCUGGGCACUGUCUCAAAGAGAAGCUCAGUGAAAUAGACAUGUCUGUGAAGAUGCAAACUACCUGCAUCUGGAUAGAAAGACCCUAUGAAGCCUUAUUGUUCUCUGGGAUUGGCUUUGGGCCUUUCCUACGCAGCUUAGGUGGAAGGCAAAAAAACUUUCCGGGAGGGUCCAAGCCAUAAAUGAGAUACCACUCUGGAAGAGCUAGAAUUCUAACCUUAUAUCAGGACCUACGAACCACGGGACAAUCUCAGGUAGACAAUUUCUAUGGGGCGUAGGCCUCCCAAAGAUAACGGAGGCAUGCAAAGAUUUCCUCAGAUCGGAUCGAGAUUGACCCUCGAGUGCAAAGGCAAAAGGGAGCUUGACUGCAAAACCCACCAAUCGAGUGAAGACAAAAGUUGGCCUUAGUGAUCCGACGGUGUCGAGUAGAAAGGCCGUCGCUCCAUAGAUAAAAGUUACUCUAAGGAUAACAGGCUAAUCUUCACCAAGAGUUUACAUUGAUGGAAAGGUUUGGGACCUCGCUGUCGGCUCUUCGCCAUCUAGGGCUGUAGUAUGUUCCAAAGGUUGGGCUAUUCGCUCAUUAAAGUGGUACGUGAGCUGAGUUUAGAAUGUCGCUAGACAAUUCGGUCCAUAUUUGAUGCGGACGUUCGAGCAUUGAGAGGACCUUGCCUUAGUACGAGAGGACUGUAAGGAUGCAUCUCUGGUGUACCAGUUAUCGUGCCCACGAUAAACGCUGGGUAGCCAAGUGCAGAGCAAAUAACUGCUGAAAGCAUCUAAGUAAUAAGCCCACUCCAAGAUGAGUGCUCUCCUAUUCCGACUUUUCUAGAGCCACUAGUAGCACAUCCGAGACAGCGACAGAUUCUCUGCCCCUGCAGAGAUGGAGCGCACCAUAACAAUGUCAUACCUUCCUACGGAUGGUAUUUCUAAUUGUUCUAUAUUUGCCUUC